CAAUAGCGUAUAUUAAAGUUGUUGCGGUUAAAAAGCUCGUAGUUGGAUUUCUGCUGAGAACGACCGGUCCGCCCUCUGGGUGUGUAUCUGGCUCUUUCUUGGCAUCUUCUUGGUGAACGUUGCUGCACUUGACUGUGUGGAGCGCUACCCAGGACUUUUACUUUGAGGAAAUUAGAGUGUUUCAAGCAGGCAUACGCCUUGAAUACAUUAGCAUGGAAUAAUAAGAUAGGACCUCGGUUCUAUUUUGUUGGUUUCUAGAGCUGAGGUAAUGAUUAAUAGGGAUAGUUGGGGGCAUUCGUAUUUAACUGUCAGAGGUGUAAUUCUUGGAUUUGUUAAAGACGGACUACUGCGAAAGCAUUUGCCAAGGAUGUUUUCAUUGA
rnacentral:rRNA from 1 species